CUGGAAUGAUGAAAGUUAGCCAAAUCGUAUAAUGAUGUGCUCCUCCUGGUGUCAUUUUAAUCUGUGCACUUGGUGAAAUUUUCUUCUUUCCCAAGCACAAGAUGAGAUGACUGGAGUUGAAGUUUGCAUCAGUAUGUGAUGAUAAAAAUUGAGAUUGGUAACUUGCUGACCAGA
rnacentral:snoRNA from 1 species